rnacentral:rRNA from 1 species
CCUACGGGGUGCACCAGUGGGGAAUAUUGCACAAUGGGCGCAAGCCUGAUGCAGCCAUGCCGCGUGUAUGAAGAAGGCCUUAGGGUUGUAAAGUACUUUCAGUUGGGAGGAAGGCGUUGAUGCUAAUAUCAUCAACGAUUGACGUUACCAACAGAAGAAGCACCGGCUAACUCCGUGCCAGCAGCCGCGGUAAUACGGAGGGUGCAAGCGUUAAUCGGAAUUACUGGGCGUAAAGCGCACGCAGGCGGUUGAUUAAGUUAGAUGUGAAAUCCCCGGGCUUAACCUGGGAAUGGCAUCUAAGACUGGUCAGCUAGAGUCUUGUAGAGGGGGGUAGAAUUCCACGUGUAGCGGUGAAAUGCGUAGAGAUGUGGAGGAAUACCGGUGGCGAAGGCGGCCUUCUGGACAGAUACUGACGCUGAGAUGCGAAAGCGUGGGGAGCAAACAGGAUUAGAUACCCCCGUAGUC